AUCAUCUGCCUGGAGCCUUCUUUUGGUUUGUGUCUUCGAUGUAUCUAAAAUAUUACCCCCAACAAUUUUAGUAUUAUCUUAUUCUUUUUUUUUCUUUGAUAUUUUUUUGAAGUACUUAGUGAGCUUCCAGAUCAAUCAUUAAUAAAAUUUAAAUAGUACUCAAAAUAUAUUAUAUUAGAUGAAGUUAAAGGUACUAAUUUUUUUUACUACUUUAUAGUAGCUGAGGUAUUAUUCCCCAGCAGCCUAUAUUUCUAUUAUUGACAUGUUGCCAAUAGCCAGUGACUGCCUUGGCCCUUGUGCUCCCCAGCGGAGAGCGGGGAGCCUACUCACGAUUCAAGAGCUUAGAUCUGUCUUUAUCGAAGUAGAGGGCAGCCUCUAUUAAAAGGAUAGUUCGGAUUGGUGCUGUCGGUGGUGGAUCGUAGGCACAAGAAGAUAGGUCCCUGGGUCUAGAUUGGAUCUAGCUGCAAAUAACUUCGGCGUGGCAGAGGACGGGAUGCGCAGGGGGCACUUCAGAGCUGAGGGGACUUCAUGGCCGCUUGCAGGUGGCCUCAGUACGUCUGGAGGCAAGAUUCAUGCAUGGGGGGCUCUGAAGUCUCUUAAAGAUAAUAUCGGCAUUGACGAAGAGCGCGUGCC
rnacentral:lncRNA from 1 species